rnacentral:rRNA from 1 species
UACGAAGGGGGCUAGCGUUGCUCGGAAUCACUGGGCGUAAAGCGCACGUAGGCGGCUCUUUAAGUCAGGGGUGAAAUCCCAAGGCUCAACCUUGGAACUGCCUUUGAUACUGGGGAUCUCGAGUCCGGAAGAGGUGAGUGGAACUGCGAGCGUAGAGGUGAAAUUCGUAGAUAUUCGCAAGAACACCAGUGGCGAAGGCGGCUCACUGGUCCGGUACUGACGCUGAGGUGCGAAAGCGUGGGGAGCAAACAGG